GAUGAACGAGUUGAUUGGGUGGAUGAUGGAUUAACAAGUUGAUUGGGUCAGUGGCUACGUGCCUGUGAGCUUGUCAAAACUCAAAACAGAGAUAUUGCACAUUCCACGCCAAAGAUAGCAGCAGCCUCCGGAAUUCAGACGCCAAAAAACGAAGCUCAUUUUCGUCCCCUGUAGCCGUGAUUUUUGAGGCUACGAUCGCCAUAUCAGAGCCAACUGACUGAUAAUAGGCUGUGCC
rnacentral:lncRNA from 1 species